UUCAAGAAAUUGUAGUAUCUAUUAUAAAGAGAGUUCCGAACAAAGGCAGGAGAUGAGAUUGGUUUGGCAUCCUAUUCGCCAUCAGAUAAUAUCAUUUUUGCAUCAAAGGCGGGAGAUGAGAUUCACUACAUCAAAUGGUGAACACCAGGGAUACAUGACUCUUAAGCACAUUUGCAUGCACUUUCUUUGUUGCAAGUAUGAAGCAGCCUUGAGCAAAGUUACGUGCAAAACUACACAGAGCUUUAAUCAUCUUCACCAAAUCAGGACCUUCCCUCCCAACCCAUACAAGAAAUGAAACCCAAAUGGCAUGAACAGCUCCAACACCGAUGGUAUCCCAAGCCAUGGGAAAGCCUUAUCCAGGAUCCGGCUCGUCUUCGCGAGCCCUCGUGUGGCACGGGAAACUCCACUGACCUCAACGGAGAACACUUCCUUGUUGUUCCAAAUGCUGAGCACAGCCCAAGACUCAGGUGGGUAUGAGAGGAAAUGGUCCACAUUGGGAGGGGACCGCGAUGAAGGUGUCGAGAUUAAGACGGUUGUAGAGGAUGGCAUCGAUGUCUCUAGGGAAGAACUCGGUGGUGGAGAAUCGGCGGCGAUAGAGUGAUUCGGCUUUGGCACCUUCAUCGCUUUCAAUCGUGUAAUAUUCUCUUGGAUCUGAGGAUCUGGAUCGGGUUACGUCACCACUACAGGGAAGGUGUUUGGGCUUGGUGGUGACUGUACUUAUUGCGAUAUAUUGACUGAUAGUGAAUCUGGUGAAGAUGCAACUGAUGUAGUGUGGUCAUAUGAUCCCAUCCUCGGACAUUGGGAUCGGCGGGCAUCCAUGCUAGUGAAGUGAUUCUGAUACAGAAUCUGACUCUAGUUUGGAUUUCAUGAUGGUCGGAGAUGAUUGUGAAAUCUUCUUUACAUGUAUGUUGGAACCUCAAUCCAGUUUACAGAAAGAUGCUAUUCUCGAUCCACCACCAUCACCGCGAUGUGCUUCUUAAAAAAGACGAGAAGAAAUAAUGGCAUUUAUCAUGGUCUCAAUUAAGUUGCAUGUGUUGUUCUAUGGGUUGUCAAUAGUGCUGGUCUUGGAGAGUGGUGGGUGUCAAAGACUAUUGAGUACUAGAAUGGCCCAACGAUAGUCGUUUGAGAGGAGGUUAGUGUUGAACAAUGGGGUCGUAUUCAAGCUGGACAAGGAGGCAAGGAUAUGGAAAAUGUCGGCAGCGGCAUCAGUUGAUUGUUCGUACUUUUAUGUUGGAUUUUACAAUGAUCGGAAUUGGAGAUGAACUUUA